UAGAUACCCUGGUAGUCCACGCCGUAAACGUUUGAUCACUCGUUGUUGGCAAUACACCGUCAGCGACCUAGCUAAUGCGCUAAGUGAUCCACCUGGGGAGUACGAUCGCAAGGUUGAAACUCAAAGGAAUUGACGGGGGCCCGCACAAGCGGAGGAGCAUGUGGUUUAAUUCGAUGAUACGCGAGGAACCUUACCUGGGCUUAAAUGUAGUGUGCAUUCCCGUGAAAACGGGAUUUCCUUCGGGACCCACUACAAGGUGCUGCAUGGUUGUCGUCGGCUCGUGCCGUGAGGUGUCGGGUUAAGUCCCAUAACGAGCGCAACCCCUAUCUUUAGUUGCUAACAGGUCAUGCUGAGGACUCUAAAGAAACUGCCCGCGCAAGCGGUGAGGAAGGUGGGGAUGACGUCAAAUCAGCACGGCCCUUAUGUCCAGGGCUACACACGUGCUACAAUGGCAGGUACGGUGGGCAGCUAUCACGCAAGUGAAUGCUAAUCUCUAAAACCUGUCUCAGUCCGGAUUGGAGUCUGCAACCCGACUCCAUGAAGCUGGAUUCGCUAGUAAUCGCACAUCAGCCAUGGUGCGGUGAAUACGUUCCCGGGCAUUGUACACACCGCCCGUCAAGCCAUGGAAGC
rnacentral:rRNA from 1 species